UACGUAGGGACCAAGCGUUGUUCGGAUUUACUGGGCGUAAAGGGCGCGUAGGCGGCGCGGCAAGUCAGUUGUGAAAUCUCUGAGCUUAACUCAGAACGGCCAAGUGAAACUGUUGUGCUAGAGUGCAGAAGGGGCAAUCGGAAUUCUUGGUGUAGCGGUGAAAUGCGUAGAUAUCAAGAGGAACACCUGAGGUGAAGACGGGUUGCUGGGCUGACACUGACGCUGAAGCGCGAAAGCCAGGGGAGCAAACGGG
rnacentral:rRNA from 1 species